UAUGCGCGAAUCAAAUCGAAACCUUGACAUCCCCCCCCGGGCAUACCCCCGGGAAUUUGGAUUUUGACGUUUUGGUCAGGUCAAAUUCCCUACAUAUAUUUGUAAUUCCCGUUCAAAUACACCACGUAUUGGGAAAAAUUGGAGUUCAAAUACCCCACCCCAUGUACGAAUUGGAAGCUACAGCAUUUCGCAAUUUUGGAAUUUCAAAGUUUUUCUUUCCUUCAAAAACUCUCUUCAAUCGUUCAAAGCCGUUUUCUUGUAGCCAACCAAGGACAAAGUUAAUUCCUUUGCACUUGAAGACCUUGAACUCAUCCAUUAAUCAUUGACGCCAUUUUGGAUUCUGCACACGUGUUUAAAAGAAAAAUUCAAAUUCCCGACCCCCUUCAAAUUCCCCACCUUCCACUAGGAAAAAAGGUCAAAUUCCCGCCUUCUUAAAAUACUAAACAAGCAAAUUCCCCAGGUAUGCCCGGGGGGGGGGGAUGUCAAGGUUUCGAUUUGAUUCGCGCAUUAAUUCUUCGAGGACAAGACUAACGUAUAUUGAUUGGCCCUCUUUAUUGGUACCUUUACAACGAACAUCGCCGUCUCUACUGGGCCGAAUACUGGUAAAUCAUUGAAAUUGAACUGUCGACGCUUCAUAAAAAAUAAACAUUAUAAAAGCUUACAGAAAUACUUUCCAUGCAUUAAAUAACUUGCCAAGUUUGGUUUGUUCAGAUGCAAGAUUUAUUCUGUGAUUAUAUAAUCAUAAUUCAUACUCAAACUG